UUGACCUUGGAUCAGGUAAGACUACCCGCUUAACUUUAGCAUAUCCAUUAACCGAAGAAAAGGAACCCACAAGGAUUGCCCCAGGAACGGGCAAUUAAACGGCCACAGGUCAGAUUUGGAAUCUGGCCCCUAGGGCCCGAGUUGUAAUCUGGAGAGGAUGUUUCUGGCGCGGCGCCUUCCGAGUUCCCUGGAACGGGACGCCGGAGAGGGUGAGAGCCCCGUACGGUUGGACGCCUAGCCUUUGUGAAGCUCCUUCGACGAGUCGAGUAGUUUGGGAAUGCUGCUCAAAAUGGGAGGUGUUUCUUCUAAAGCUAAAUACCGGCCAGAGACCGAUAGUGCACAAGUAGAGUGAUCGAAAGAUGAUAAGCACUUUAAAGAGGGUCGUUCAGUACGUGAUAUUGUUGAAAGGAAAG
rnacentral:rRNA from 1 species